AGGACCAGCAUCUCUCUCUCUGAUAAAAACCUGUAAAAUGUUGAACUCUAUCAAAGUACUGUUUAUGGGGUCUUAUUUUAGUCCAAAAGCACUCUGUUAUUACCCGUUACUCUCUCUGAUUGAACUCAAAAGCUUUUACGACGCAGACCACCCCUGAGUCACAGCAGUAGAGUUGGAACUCCUGAAUUCUUUUUCGGUCAUGACAAAAAAAAGCAGGAUGAGCUAAAGGAAGACCGGAGCAGGAGGUCAGCUAAGUCAAGGAAAGAGAAUAUGGAGCAGGAGGUCAGCUAAGUCAAGGAAAGAGGAUGGAGCAGGAGGUCAGCUAAGUCAAGGAAAGAGAAUAUGGAGGAGGUCAGCUAAGACAAGGAAAGAGAAUAUGGAGCAGGAGGUCAGCUAAGUCAAGGAAAUAAUAUGGAGAAGGAGGUCAGCUAAGUCAAGGAAAGAGGAUGGAGCAGGAGGUCAGCUAAGUCCAGGAAAGAGGAUGGAGCAGGAGGUCAGCUAAUUCAAGGAAAGAGGAUGGAGCAGGAGGUCAGCUAAGUCAAGGAAAGAGAAUAUGGAGGAGAUCAGCUAAAACAAGGAAAGAGAAUAUGGAGCAGGAGGUCAGCUAAGUCAAGGAAAGAGGAUGGAGCAGGAGGUCAGCUAAGUCAAGGAAAGAGAAUAUGGAGCAGGAGGUCAGCUAAGUCAAGGAAAGAGAAUAUGGAGCAGGAGGUCAGCUAAGUCAAGGAAAGAUAACAUGGAGGAGGUCAGCUAAGUCAAGGAAAGAGAAUAUGGAGCAGGAGGUCAGCUAAGACAAGGAAAGAGAAUAUGGAGCAGGAGGUCAGCUAAGUCAAGGAAAGAAUAUGGAGCAGGAGGUCAGCUAAGUCAAGGAAAGAGAAUAUGGAGCAGGAGGUCAGCUAAGUCAAGGAAAUAAUAUGGAGAAGGAGGUCAGCUAAGUCAAGGAAAGAAUAUGGAGCAGGAGGUCAGCUAAGUCAAGGAAAGAGAAUAUGGAUGAGGUCAGCUAAGACAAGGAAAGAGAAUAUGGAGCGGGAGGUCAGCUAAGUCAAGGAAAGAAUAUGGAGCAGGAGGUCAGCUAAGUCAAGGAAAGAGAAUAUGGAGCAGGAGGUCAGCUAAGUCAAGGAAAGAAUAUGGAGCAGGAGGUCAGCUAAGUCAAGGAAAGAGAAUAUGGAGCAGGAGGUCAGCUAAGUCAAGGAAAGAGAAUAUGGAGCAGGAGGUCAGCUAAGACAAGGAAAGAGAAUAUGGAGCAGGAGGUCAGCUAAGUCAAGGAAAGAGGAUGGAGCAGGAGGUCAGCUAAGUCAAGGAAAGAGAAUAUGGAGCAGGAGGUCAGCUAAGUCAAGGAAAUAAUAUGGAGAAGGAGGUCAGCUAAGACACGGAAAGAGAAUAUGGAGAAGGAGGUCAGCUAAGACAAGGAAAGAUAACAUGGAGGAGGUCAGCUAAGACAAGGAAAGAGGAUGGAGCAGGAGGUCAGCUAACAGCAUACUUUCAUUAUCAGAACAAGAUAAGGCAUUGAAGGUGACUUGUGUGAUGUGUUCAGGAUGUAAUUUACUGAGACUCAAACCUGCAUUUGUAGAAAAUAAACCCUGCCCUGGUUGAAA